CACAUGUUGAUUUUGGACUAAAGCUUCUAGGAGCUGAUGUUAUGUCAAUACCUGGUCUUUACAGAUUUGUUCAGGAGACCAUAAAGAAGCAAGUUGCAGCCAUGUACCUAUGGCCUAAAACACUAGAAGUCCC